CCCGCUGAACUUAAGCAUAUCAAUAAGCGGAGGAAAAGAAACUAACAAGGAUUCCCUUAGUAACUGCGAGUGAAGAGGGAAAAGCUCAAAUUUAAAAUCUGGCAGUGUUUUGCUGUCCGAGUUGUAACCUAGAGAAGUGUAACCUGUGCUGGACCGUGUACAAGUCUCCUGGAAUGGAGCAUCACAGAGGGUGAGAAUCCCGUCUUUGACAUGGACUGCCAGUGCAUUGUGGUUGUGCUCUCAACGAGUCGAGUUGUUUGGGAAUGCAGCUCUAAAUGGGUGGUAAAUUCCAUCUAAAGCUAAAUAUUGGCGAGAGACCGAUAGCGAACAAGUACCGUGAGGGAAAGAUGAAAAGAACUUUGGAAAGAGAGUUAAACAGUAUGUGAAAUUGUUGAAAGGGAAACGUUUGAAGUCAGUCAUGUUGGCUGGGGAUCAGCCUGACAUUUAUGUUGGGUGUACUUCCUGGUUGACGGGCCAACAUCAGUUUUGACUGCCAGAAAAAGGCCAAGGGAAUGUGGCACCUUUGGGUGUGUUAUAGCUCUUGGUCGUAUGUGGUGGUUGGGACUGAGGAAAGCAGUGUGCCGAAAGGCAGGGUUUCGACCACAUUCGCACUAAGGAUGUUGGCAUAAUGGCUUUAAGCGACCCGUCUUGAAACACGG
rnacentral:rRNA from 1 species